GCCCCUUCCACAUAUAUUGCCUGAAGCCUAUCCUAAACCAGUCCUAUACAAAGCCCUAAGUCCAACCUUAAAGGACCACUAUAGGCACCCAAGCCACUUAUGCUCAAUGAAUUGGUCUGGGUGCCAGGUCCAUCUAGGGUUAACCCUGCCUGCUGUAAGCAUAGCAGUUUCAGAGAAACUGCUAUGUUUGCAUAUGGGUUAAUCCAGCCUCUAGUGGCUGUCUCAUUGACAGCCGCUAGAGGCACUUCCGCGCUUCUCACUGUGAUUUUCACAGUGAAAAGACGC